UAAGUAUAAGCUUUUAUACGGUGAAACUGCGAAUGGCUCAUUAAAACAGUUAUAGUUUAUUUGAUGGUCUCUUUUACAUGGAUAACCAUGGUAAUUCUAUGGCUAAUACAUGCGCACAGGCCUCCUUCUUUGGAGGGGCCGUGUUUAUUAGAUACAAAACCAACCCACUUUGUGGAGCCUUGGUGAUUCAUAGUAACCGAACGGAUCGCAGUUGGCUUUUGCCCGCGAUGGAUCAUUCAAGUUUCUGACCUAUCAGCUUUCGACGGUAGGGUAUUGGCCUACCGUGGCAGUGACGGGUAACGGGGAAUUAGGGUUCGAUUCCGGAGAGGGAGCCUGAGAAACGGCUACCACAUCUAAGGAAGGCAGCAGGCGCGCAAAUUACCCAAUGAAAACAGUUUCGAGGUAGUGACGAGAAAUAACGGUACAGGGCAUUUAAUGCUUUGUAAUUGGAAUGAUGGGAAUGUAAAACCCUUCCAGAGAACCAAUUGGAGGGCAAGUCUGGUGCCAGCAGCCGCGGUAAUUCCAGCUCCAAUAGUGUAUAUUAGAGUUGUUGCAGUUAAAAAGCUCGUAGUUGGAUUUCUGUCGUGGUCAUCCGGCCGCGCCCGUAGGGUGUGCGCCUGU
rnacentral:rRNA from 1 species